UAGGGAAUCUUCCACAAUGGACGCAAGUCUGAUGGAGCAACGCCGCGUGAGUGAAGAAGGUUUUCGGACCGUAAAGCUCUGUUGUUGGUGAAGAAGGAUAGAGGUAGUAACUGGCCUUUAUUUGACGGUAAUCAACCAGAAAGUCACGGCUAACUACGUGCCAGCAGCCGCGGUAAUACGUAGGUGGCAAGCGUUGUCCGGAUUUAUUGGGCGUAAAGCGAGCGCAGGCGGAAGAAUAAGUCUGAUGUGAAAGCCCUCGGCUUAACCGAGGAAUUGCAUCGGAAACUGUUUUCUUGAGUGCAGAAGAGGAGAGUAGAACUCCAUGUGUAGCGGUGGAAUGCGUAGAUAUAUGGAAGAAUACCAGUGGCGAAGGCGGCUCUCUGGUCUGCAACUGACGCUGAGGCUCGAAAGCAUGGGUAGCGAACAGGAUUAGAUACCCUGGUAGUCCAUGCCGUAAACAAUGAGUGCUAAGUGUUGGGAGGCUUCCGCCUCUCAGUGCUGCAGCUAACGCAUUAAGCACUCCGCCUGGGGGAGUACGACCGCAAGGUUGAAAC
rnacentral:rRNA from 1 species